CUUGUACUCCCUCCGUUCUGAAUUAUUUGUCGUAGAAAUGGAUGUAUCUAAAUGUAUUUUAGUUCUAGAUACAUCCAUUUCUGCGACGAGUGAUUUGGAACCAAUGGAGUAGUUA
rnacentral:pre_miRNA from 1 species